rnacentral:sRNA from 1 species
AAAACCAAAAAAAAAUAUAGUAG